AUUGAACGCUGGCGGCAGGCCUAACACAUGCAAGUCGCGCGAGCGGCGGACGGGUGAGUAAUGUCUGGGAAACUGCCUGAUGGAGGGAGAUAACUACUGGAAACGGUAGCUAAUACCGCAUACCAUCAGAUGUGCCCAGAUGGGAUGAGCUAGUAGGUGGGGUAAUGGCUCACCUAGGCUACGAUCCCUAGCUGGUCUGAGAGGAUGACCAGCCACACUGGAACGGAGACACGGUCCAGACGCCGACGGGAGGCAGCAGUGGGGAAUAUUGCACAAUGGGCGCAAGCCUGAUGCAGCCAUGCCGCGUGUGUGAAGAAGGCCUUCGGGUUGUAAAGCACUUUCAGCGGGGAGGCGUUACCCGCAGAAGAAGCACCGGCUAACUCCGUGCCAGCAGCCGCGGUAAUAC
rnacentral:rRNA from 1 species